rnacentral:rRNA from 1 species
AACGCUAGCUACAGGCUUAACACAUGCAAGUCGAGGGGCAGCAUGGUCUUAGCUUGCUAAGGCUGAUGGCGACCGGCGCACGGGUGAGUAACACGUAUCCAACCUGCCGUCUACUCUUGGCCAGCCUUCUGAAAGGAAGAUUAAUCCAGGAUGGCAUCAUGAGUUCACAUGUCCGCAUGAUUAAAGGUAUUUUCCGGUAGACGAUGGGGAUGCGUUCCAUUAGAUAGUAGGCGGGGUAACGGCCCACCUAGUCAACGAUGGAUAGGGGUUCUGAGAGGAAGGUCCCCCACAUUGGAACUGAGACACGGUCCAAACUCCUACGGGAGGCAGCAGUGAGGAAUAUUGGUCAAUGGGCGAUGGCCUGAACCAGCCAAGUAGCGUGAAGGAUGACUGCCCUAUGGGUUGUAAACUUCUUUUAUAAAGGAAUAAAGUCGGGUAUGCAUACCCGUUUGCAUGUACUUUAUGAAUAAGGAUCGGCUAACUCCGUGCCAGCAGCCGCGGUAAUACGGAGGAUCCGAGCGUUAUCCGGAUUUAUUGGGUUUAAAGGGAGCGUAGAUGGAUGUUUAAGUCAGUUGUGAAAGUUUGCGGCUCAACCGUAAAAUUGCAGUUGAUACUGGAUGUCUUGAGUGCAGUUGAGGCAGGCGGAAUUCGUGGUGUAGCGGUGAAAUGCUUAGAUAUCACGAAGAACUCCGAUUG